AUGAACGCUGGCGGCGUGCCUAAUACAUGCAAGUCGAGCGAACAGACGAGGAGCUUGCUCCUCUGACGUUAGCGGCGGACGGGUGAGUAACACGUGGAUAACCUACCUAUAAGACUGGGAUAACUUCGGGAAACCGGAGCUAAUACCGGAUAAUAUAUUGAACCGCAUGGUUCAAUAGUGAAAGACGGUUUUGCUGUCACUUAUAGAUGGAUCCGCGCCGCAUUAGCUAGUUGGUAAGGUAACGGCUUACCAAGGCAACGAUGCGUAGCCGACCUGAGAGGGUGAUCGGCCACACUGGAACUGAGACACGGUCCAGACUCCUACGGGAGGCAGCAGUAGGGAAUCUUCCGCAAUGGGCGAAAGCCAGACGGAGCAACGCCGCGUGAGUGAUGAAGGUCUUCGGAUCGUAAAACUCUGUUAUUAGGGAAGAACAAAUGUGUAAGUAACUAUGCACGUCUUGACGGUACCUAAUCAGAAAGCCACGGCUAACUACGUG
rnacentral:rRNA from 1 species